AUGUUUUCCACCCUAACCACCUUCUUGCAGACCGGGAGAGGGCAUCUCCCAAGGAGGAGAACUCCAGACGGAGUGGCGAGGAAUGAGACUGACGAAUCCCGAGCAGGUGUAUGUGAGCGUCCUAAAGUGGAAGUGGCACCAGCCGAGAUGGAUGGGACCCAACAAAGUGCUGGAAGGGACCGGUCAUGCUGUCCAUCUGAGAGGGAAGCACGGCCCCUGGAGCAUCUCCAACUUCAAAGUGAAAUUCGGAAGGACGACUGGACGUGAAAUCAAGACAACGUUAUCAGGGGGCCCUAGCGACGCCAGUCCCACGGAGGAGAACCAGCACCCAAGUUCAAGUGCGCCCAGCGCGCGCACCGUCGAAAGACCACAGUAGGAGAGAGGGCUUUCCGUGGUAAACACAACCCUCUCAGGAAAAUGGAGCAGAGCCCAGGAAGGGCAGUCAAGUGUUGCCUAUGCAUCAUCGGCAUCAUCAUCAUCAUCAUCAUCAGGGGGCUGAAUUCAGUCCCGAAGGGUAUAGGGGCCUUCAUAUAGAAUAAAUUCUGGCGAGGCCCAACGCCACGAGGCAGGAGACAAAGACCGCACAGGAUGAAUAGAGAUUUCAAUCCUUCUUGAAAGACGAAACCGGUGUCAGAAAUUUUAGUCUCACUGCAAGAACUAUUGGCACCACACUCCGACAGGAACAUCUGUUUAAACUCGUAAAACAAAGACUGAAGUGGGUUGUUUGUAUCUCCCGCUCCCUUGAGUGAUUAACAGUGCCCGAGUGUGUUCUUUUGCGACCCCAUCAGGUCCCGCUAGGAAGGAAUUUGUGUCUGGACUUUGCCAUCAUACAAGGAUCAAAUUGCUUCAACCUUCCUUUGUUUCAAAUUUUUACGCAAGGGGCAGAAAUACCCACCUUUCGUGAUUGUAUCAUUCCUAUAUUAACAUGAGUCAGUAGUGUUUCUUCCCCCUGACG